GUGGUCCCACGAAACUGGGUCUCUUCACAGACAGACCCACAGUUCGCGAGCAUGGCUCAGCGCUGCCCCGCUUCUCCCAGCGCCCCUUCCCGACCUUUGAACGCCUUCACCGCCCUAGGAAAGCGAGAUCUUGUCAGAGAACCUUCCGGCGCCUGUUUCCUGGCAGUGGGGCAUAGUCCAACAGCUGGCUCCCCCAAGAUAGCCAGCGGCCAUUACGCGCUUGGGUCGGGGGAGAUGGAGUCGCAUUUAGCCGCACAGCAGCCUGGAACCUGAAGUUUUCGGCCGCUGAGCGUUCUGGGUGAUUGCGUAGUGCGAGGGCCAACGAAACCUUCUGGGAAGUGUAGUCCAGCAAGCCGCUCACUUUUCGUGAGGCGUCACAUCCUGCUGCUUCACCCUCUGGUGCACGGGAGGACCAACUAUUUCAGUCGACACGAGUGAAAUUUGGUGCCAUGACUCAGAUCGGGGGACUUCCCUUGGGAGAUCAAUCCCCUGUCCUCCUGCUCUUUGCUGCGUGAGAAAGAUCCACCUAUGACCUCGGGUCCUCAGACCAACCAACCCAAGGAACAUCUCACCAAUUUUAAAUCGGAUCUUGGCUUAGUGGCUGAAGACUGAUGCUCCCCGAUCACCUCAGAAGCUUCCUGGACCAUCACAGACACUUUGGGUAACUCUUACAGUGGAGGGUAAGUCCAUCCCCUUCUUAAUCAUUACAGAGGCUACCCACUCCACAUUACCUUCUUUUCAAGGGCCUGUUUCCCUUGCCUCCAUAACUGUUGUGGGUAUUGACAACCAGGCUUCUAAGCCUCUUAAAACUCCCCAACUCUGGUGCCAGUUUGGACAAUAUUCUUUUAUGCACUCCUUUUUAGUUAUCCCUGCCUGCCCAGUUCCCUUAUUAGGCCGAGACAUUUUAACUAAAUUAUCUGCUUCCUAUGCUACAGCCACACCUCAUUGCCACCCUUUUCUCCAGUUCAAAGCCUCCUUCACAUCCUGCUCUUGUAUCUCCCCAUUUUAAUCCACAACUAUAGGAUACCUCUACUCCCUCCUUGGUGACCGAUCAUGCACCCCUUACCAUCCCAUUAAAACCUAAUCACCCUUACCCCACUUAAGGCCAAUAUCCCAUCCCACAGCACACUUUAAAAGGAUUAAAGCCUGUUAUCACUUGCCUGUUACAACAUGGCCUUUUAAAGCCUAUAAACUCUCCUUACAAUUCCCCCGUUUUACCUGUCCUAAAACCAGACAAGCCUUACAGAUUAAUUCAGGAUCUGCACCUUAUCAACCAAAUUGUGUUGCCUAUCCACCCCAUGGUGCCAAACCCAUAUACUCUCCUAUUCUCAAUACCUCCCUCCACAACCCGUUCUGUUCUAGAUAAACCUAGCUGACCCCAUAAAUCCUAAAUCCUUUCCCCACUCCCCUUUCCAUUCCUUAAAAAACAGCCCUAAAAGCUGCUCCCACACUAGCUCUCCCUAACUCAUCCCAACCCUUUUCAUUACACACAGCUGAAGUGCAGGGCUGUGCGGUCAGAAUGCUUACACAAGAGCUGGGACUGCACCCUGUAGCCUUUUUAUCCAAACAACUUGACCUUACUGUUUUAGUCUAGCCCUCAUGUCUGCAUGCAGCUGCUGCCACUGCCUUAAUACUUUUAGAGGCCCUCAAAAUCACAAACUAUGCUCAACUCACUCUCUACAGUUCUCAUAACUUACAUAAUCUAUUUUCUUCCUCACACCUGAUACAUAUACUUUCUGCCCCCUUCCACUACCUCUCAGCAAGCCGAACUCAUUGCCUUAACUUGAGCCCUCACUCUUCCAAAAGGACUGCACGUCAAUAUUUAUACUGACUCUAAAUAUGCCUUCCAUAUCCUGCACCACCAUGCUGUUAUAUGGGCAAGAAGAGGUUUCCUCACUAUGCAAGGGUCCUCCAUUAUUAAUUCCUCUUUAAUAAAAACUCUUCUCAAGGCCGGUUUACUUCCAAAGGAAGCUGGAGUCAUUCACUGCAAGGGCCGUCAAAAGGCAUCAGAUCCCAUUGCUCAGGGCAACGCAUAGGCUGAUAAGGUAGCUAAAAAAGCAGCUAGUGUUCCAACUUCUGUCCACCCCCAAAAUUUUUGCUGCCCCAACACUUCAAUACUAUUUUAUGUGAUUUUUCUUAUUAAUAUAAGAAGACAGGAAUGUCAGGGCUCUGAGACCAAGCUAAGCCAUCAUAUACCCUGUGACCUGCUUGUAUACAUCCAGAUGGCCCAAAGUAACUGAAGAAUCACAGAAGAAGUGGAAAUGGCCUGUUCCUGCCUUAACUGAUGACAUUACCUUGUGAAAUUCCUUCACCUGGGUCAUCCUGGCUCAAAAGCUCCCCCACUGAGCACCUUGUGACCCCCACCCCUGCCAGUCAAAGAACAACCCCCUUUGAGUGUAAUUUUCCACUACCUACCUAAAUCCUAUAAAACGGCCCAACCCCUAUAUCCCUUUGCUGGCUAUAUCCCUUCACUGGCUCUCUUUUUGGACUCAGCCUGCCUAGACCCAGGUGAUUAAAAAGCUUUAUUGCUCACACAAAGCCUGUUUGGUGGUCUCUUCACACGGUCGUGUGUGAAAAUCAUUUUUUAAUUUAAUCUACACAAUGAAUUCUAUGACUCAAGUGCUAUUAUUAUUUAAACUGCCUUUACAAAAAUCAUAAUUGAGGAAAUUAUGACAGUGGAAAUUAUGACAACCCCAUCUUCCUUCUAACCUCUAAACUGUCUUUGUCCAUUCCUGGGCAUAGGCCUUGGGAAAGAAUUUAGUUUAUAGUUUAAAUUCUGAAACAAAAUAUUGCUAAUAGUCUUUUCCCAAAAAAAACCCCUUCUUGCCUGAGGACCAGUCUGUCUUUGUCAGACUAACAAAUCAGCCACAAAAUUAGAGAUUGUGGUUCAGGGGCCAUGCAGCCUCUGGCUGUAGGAGUCUGAAUCUCCCCAAAUUGCUCCUGGGAAUAACAUCACUGUUGCAAAACUUAAGAUAGGUGCUUGAGAUAUUUUGCAAUCCCGCAGCAGAUAACACCACUCAGGCCAAUAAUCUGGCUCAACCAAUUUGGCGAUCCCACCCAGGAACAGAAGUCAUCAAGAAUAACUCACUUCGACCCCCCUAUGAUUUCAUCUUUAAACCGACCAAUCAGCACUCCCACUUUUCUAGGCCUUACCUGCCAACUUAUCCUUAAAAACUGAUCCCUGAAUGCUCUGGGAGGCUGAUUUGAGUAAUAAUAAAACUGGUUUCCCACACAGACUUCUCUGCAUGAAUUACUUUUGCCAUUGCAAUUCCCUUCUUAAUAAAUAGGCUCUGGGUAGGCAGCAGGAAAGGUGAACCCAAUGGGCAGUUACAUUAUAUUUUAUAAAUGAAGAACCUGAGGUUUAGAAAGAUUAAGUAAUUUAGCAUAGGUAGUACAUGUAAUAAAUGCUGGAGUUGAAAUACAAACACAGAGAAAUUCCAAAGCUGAUAUUCUUUACCAUGACACUAAUAUAAGGCAGAAGUUUUAAGAGUGGUUGAAAAAUGCUCACAGUCAACUUGGAAGAAAGACAGGUAGGAGUGAUACAUAUACAUGGAGAUUGAGGAGAGGCUGGAAAGAAGACAACUGGCAAAGAAUGUCACAUUGGCAAAGGCAGGGAGGUAGGCGUUUACAUAGAGAUUUAGGCAUAAUGGGUUGAAACUAUUUAUAGAGUUUAGGGUGAUAAUAAUGAAAAGCUAAGAACCAAAACUGUGGAGAUUAUCAGGUUGUUUCUCAUUUAGUUGAAAGUGCAGGGGGAGGGAAAGAAUUAUCAAGCUUAGUCAGAAAAACAUCUCUUAACCACGAAAUGCAAAGACUUGAAAAACAAACCCUAAACUACAAAUGUCAGAGAGUACUUCACUCUGAGAUUUGAAUCCAAAUGCCAUUAAAAGUUUAUUACUUCCUGAAGAAAUGCAGUCAUUGAGAUGUUGAUGGGUGAACUUUUACUUAAAAAGGUUAUUCUGAAAUGCUGUGGUUCUUAAUGGAGUUUUUUUUUUAAACCAUGCUUUCUGAUAGGAAACUUAGCAACCAGGGACUUUGCUCACCCUAUACCCUUGAGACACUACUGUCCUCCAAAUGUUGUAGGACUUUCUGCUUUCUCCUUAGUUCAGCUAAAAAUGGGGUUCUUGUCACAUGACCAGGAAGGAUGAAGCUCAUGAAUACAUAGAAGUGUGCAAAAAAUGGAAUUUAUUGGGUGAAAAGGAAAAAAAACAAAACUAAUCUCACAGAUUGGAUUCCCAGGUGACCACCCAAGAACAGAAGAGGCCAGGCUCCUCCCCACUGCAAAUGGUGUGAACUUCCUGAGGCUCCACCCCAGUUUGCACUCCUCCCAGUGCAGGUUGGUCAGAGGUUCUCUGGGGACCUCUUUUUACUUGGCUCUCUCACAAACUUCCUUUACUUGGAUUAUGCUUAACUAUCCUUCAAAGAUCAACUCUGGUAGAAAGAGCAUUGGAGGGAUCCAGAUGGUAGACAGAUCACACACAUUUAUUCCUGGAAACUGAGCCAUAGCCCUGCAGACUGCCUUUCCAUCAUUCAUAUUAGAAGCCAUGGCCCUGUUGGCAAGGGAUUUACAGAGGAAGGAGAAUGUCUGAAAACUGUAUUUCAGAACACCAAACUGGAAGGGGUGUUCUCUGGGUCAAUACCUCCCUAGGGGUUGCUGUAAAUAAUAAGUGAUCUCAAGUCCUUUCUAGAAAAAUGGCUCAGAAUAGGCUACUCAAAAUAUGGUGCCUUCAUGUAUUGAAUAUUUUAAGCUGAAGGAAUUUGAGAAACAGCAGGUUUUCUCUCCUGAAGCAGGUCAUAAGACUCUCAUGUGAGAGGUGCCCUUCCUAUACCUGGAAGAAAGGAGCAUCCUUAUCUCCGAACAUGCCAAGAAUAAUAUGAACAAACAGGCCUUGAUCAGUUUUCCCCAAUUUACUACCCUUAGCUCAUACCCUUUUAUUUUAUCACUUUCUACUCCUCACCAAACUUAGUGUAAAAACACUCAGGCUUAACCAUUUCUUCAGAUCUUUAUUUCCUUGUGAAGACUCCCAUGUUAUGUAAAACUUAUAUUAAAUAAAUUUGUAUGUUUUUCUCAAUAAUAUUUCUUUUGCAAGUCCAGUUUACAGGGCCCCAUAUGGAGAACCCAGGAGGGUGUACAAAGAAUAAUUUUUUCCUCUACUACACCAGUAUCUUCCCAAACCCAGCACACACUAACCAUUUACUUACAGAAGUCCACUCAGAUGAACCAAGACAUCAAUCUUCUUGUCUUUAAGCAAUAAUUAUUUUAGCUCACAGUGGUAACACUGGUUUACCUGUGAUCAUCGGAAAUCUUGAUUGACAGUUUGCCUUUGGUUACCAAAAGAUGAAAAGAAAAAUUUCUAAUGAUAAAAUAACACAACAAAAGUGAAAUACUAAUAAAUAAAUAUGGCAGACAUUUUUGUGUCUUCAUUUUGUUGAUAAGGAAGUUGAGACUCAGAGAGCUGAAUGAACUUGUCUAAGCUAGUAAGUGAAGCUGGGACUUGAACUCAGAGCAUUUGAUUCCAAAAUAUGAGCUCUUUACUGUUAUUUAACUGUUAUUAUGAGGGGAAGGAGCUUCUACAUAAACCACAGGAAUAAGGGGAGGAUCCUCAAUAAGAAGAAUUAGAAAAGUAAGUAAAACUAUAAUUAUGGGAAGAAUUAGAAAAGUAAAUACAACUACAAUUAUGAGUCUAGAUUGAAUUAGAUGGCUUCAUGGUUCUAAGAGUCUCAAAUGACUUAAAGUCUGAAUAUGUUCAGGUUGGGCAUGGUGGCUCAUGUCUGUAAUCCCAGCACUUUGGGAGGCUGAGGUGGGUGGAUCACAUGAGGUCAGGAGUUCGAGACCAGCCUGGCCAACAUGGUGGAACCCCAUCUCUACUAAAAAUACAAAAACUAGCUUGGCUAGGUGGCAGGCGCUCAGCUACUCAGGAGGCUGAGGCAGAAGAGUCAUUUGAGCCUGGGAAGCGGAGGUUGCCCUGAGCUGAGAUUGCACCAUUGCAUUCCAGCCUGGCUGAUAGAGUGAGACUGUCUCAAAAAAAA
rnacentral:lncRNA from 10 species